rnacentral:rRNA from 1 species
GGACUACCCGGGUAUCUAAUCCUGUUUGCUCCCCACGCUUUCGCGCCUCAGCGUCAGUAUCGGACCAGGUCGCCGCCUUCGCCACCGGUGUUCUUCCCAAUAUCUACGAAUUUCACCUCUACACUGGGAAUUCCACGACCCUCUUCCGAACUCAAGCCUGCAUGUAUCAAACGCAGCCCCCAGGUUAAGCCCAGGAAUUUCACGUCUGACUAUGCAAACCGCCUACGCGCCCUUUACGCCCAGUCAAUCCGAGCAACGCUAGCCCCCUUCGUAUUACCGCGGCGGCUGGCAC